GACGAACGCUGGCGGCGUGCCUAACACAUGCAAGUCGAGCAGGGGGAGUACUUCGGUACAAACCUAGCGGCGGACGGGUGAGUAACACGUGGGUAACCUGCCUCAAAGUGGGGGAUAGCCUUCCGAAAGGAAGAUUAAUACCGCAUAACCCAUAGCUUCCGCAUGGAAGCAAUGGUAAAGAUUUAUCGCUUUGAGAUGGACCCGCGGCGCAUUAGCUAGUUGGUGAGGUAACGGCUCACCAAGGCCACGAUGCGUAGCCGACCUGAGAGGGUGAUCGGCCACAUUGGAACUGAGACACGGUCCAGACUCCUACGGGAGGCAGCAGAGGGGAAUAUUGCACAAUGGGCGAAAGCCUGAUGCAGCAACGCCGCGUGAGUGAUGAAGGCCUUCGGGUUGUAAAGCUCUGUCUUUUGGGACGAUAAUGACGGUACCAAAGGAGGAAGCCACGGCUAACUACGUGCCAGCAGCCGCCGUAAAAC
rnacentral:rRNA from 1 species